CAACUACUCCCUCUGUCCCAAAUUUCUUGUCUUAUAUUUGUCUAGAUACGGAUGUAUCUAAUACUAAAAUGUGACUUGAUACAUCCGUAUCUAGACAAAUCUAAGACAAGAAUUUUGGGACGGAGGGAGUAAUUU
rnacentral:pre_miRNA from 1 species